UGGGCCGUAGGGGCGACAUUAUUGCCGUCGUCUUUACCCCUAGCCCUGGGGGUGGAGAUGUCGGGACUCAGCUCUUCAGAGAUGGAGGGCUGCCGUAACCUACUUGGCCUACUGGACAACGACGAGAUCAUGGCCCUAUGCGACACCGUCACUAACCGCCUGGUGCAGCCUGAAGACCGCCAAGAUGCUGUUCGUGCGAUAUUAGUGUACAGCCAAAGUGCAGAAGAACUUCUAAGGCGUAGAAAAGUCCACCGAGAAGUUAUAUUUAAGUACUUGGCAACACAGGGGAUUGUUAUACCUCCAGCUACUGAAAAAUACAAUCUUAUUCAGCAUGCAAAAGAUUACUGGCAAAAGCAACCACAACUGAAAUUGAAGGAAAUGCCAGAGCCAGUUACAAAGACAGAGGACAUCCAACUCUUUCAACAGCAGGUGAAAGAAGAUAAAAAAGCUGAAAAAGUUGAUUUUCGUCGCCUAGGAGAAGAAUUCUGUCAUUGGUUCUUUGGACUCCUUAAUUCUCAGAAUCCUUUUCUGGGACCACCUCGAGAUGAAUGGAGGCCACAGCACUUCUGGCAUGAUGUGAAGCUUAGGUUUUAUUACAGCACAUCAGAACAAAAUGUUAUGGACUACCAUGGAGCAGAAAUCGUGAGCCUUCGUUUGCUGUCACUAGUAAAAGAAGAAUUUCUUUUUCUCAGCCCCAACCUAGAUUCACAUGGAUUGAAAUGUGCAUCUUCUCCUCAUGGACUGGUUAUGGUUGGAGUUGCUGGGACUGUCCAUCGAGGAAACACUUGUUUGGGCAUUUUUGAACAAAUUUUUGGACUCAUCCGCUGCCCUUUUGUGGAGAAUACUUGGAAAAUCAAAUUUAUCAACCUGAAAAUUGUGGGAGAGAGUUCCCUUGCUCCUGGAACAUUACCGAAACCAGCUGUUAAAUUUGAACAAAGUGAUCUAGAGGCCUUUUAUAAUGUAAUCACUUUAUGUGGUACCAGCGAAGUACAACAUAAUGUAAAGCAGUUUUUGGAUAGUGGAACUGGGGACCAAGUUUGAUGUAGUGGAAAUUAGACAUUGCUGAACAAAAGAGAACUGGGUUUACCUGACCCUCUAAAGCACUAAGUACUGUCAGCCUGAAAAAAUCUUCUGUACAGAAACUCUUCCAAAUACUAUCUCAGUAAUGUCUGAAUUAUUUCAGAUGUGAAAAUUGACAUAUUUUAGUUGAAAUACCUUUCUGGACUACAGACGUACAUAUUAUGUGAAUACUUACUAUUUCUACCCGAAUUGCAGCAAAUGUUCUGAAAGCUUAAUGCAAAUAAAUCCCACUUUAGAUCU